GCCAUGUUUUACACGUUUUUCGAUUUUGUUUGUUUUCUCCUAAGCUUUGACUGCUUGUUUUGGUGCUGUUUUGUGUUAUUGAGAUGUCUGGACGCGGUAAGCAGGGAGGGAAAGCUCGCGCCAAAGCAAAAUCCCGCUCUUCUCGUGCUGGUCUCCAGUUCCCGGUGGGCCGAGUGCACCGCCUGCUCCGCAAAGGCAAUUACGCAGAGCGGGUCGGGGCAGGCGCGCCCGUGUACCUGGCGGCGGUGUUGGAGUACCUGACUGCCGAGAUCCUGGAGCUGGCCGGCAACGCGGCUCGCGACAACAAGAAGACCCGCAUCAUCCCGCGCCACUUGCAGCUGGCCAUCCGUAACGACGAGGAGCUCAACAAGCUGCUAGGCCGGGUGACAAUUGCUCAGGGCGGCGUCCUUCCUAACAUCCAGGCCGUGCUUUUGCCUAAGAAAACCGAGAGUCACCACAAGGCUAAGGGCAAGUGAUUUGACAGGCAUCUGAGCUUCCGGAAACGCUAUCAAACCCAAAGGCUCUUUUCAGAGCCCCCCUACCGUUUCAGAGGAAGAGCUAACCUCACUGCUUGUACGUACGAGGAAAAAAAGCACUAAGAAAAUGUCUUCUAAGGCAGGUAUGGUGUCUCACAUCUGUAAUCCCAGCACUUGGGGAGGCUGAGGUUGCAAAAACUUCUCAUUUCAGAGAGAUGCCAGGAUCCUGAGUGCCUGCCAAACCUACCAAUUCUAAGGAAUAAGUGGAUGGAUGGUGUCAAUGUUCCUACAUCACUGAUUGAUUCUGCAUCCGCAAAUUUUUUUAUUAAAAACAUUCUACAUCGUGUGUGGGGGGGGAUAAGGAGGGUAAAAUGAAGAGAAAGAAAUUAUUGAGGGGAAGUUCUUCUGAGUACAAAAUGUGUUUAAUUUUUAAAAUAAGUAUUACAUUCACAGGGUUCAAACGAUUUGAAGUAAAAAGAUAAAUAGAAAGAAUCCACCCCUCAACUUAACCCCAGGUGAUCACUUUUCUUUUUCUUGUGUAUCUGCCCAGUAUUCAUUCCUGCUAAUAUCAGUCAAUAAUGAAUGAUACGUGUUACCCACUUUUUUCAUCCUUGCCCAGAUAUCAGACUGUAUACACUGUUCUGCACUUGCCCUUUUCAUAACAAUCUAUCUUGGAGAACUUUCCCUGUGAGAACAUACAGAGCUUCCUGUACAUAGUUGCAUGUAUUGCGUUAUGCAAAUGCAUUAUAUUUUAUGUAACCUGUCCACUGUUGGUAGGCACUUGAGUUUUUUUAGUCUUUUGCUAUCAAACAGUUCUGGGAUGAUUAACCCUGAUUUACUGCAAAAUUGAAAUUGCUGUGCUAUUCUGCUGGAAUAGUGGUAAGUGAACAGGAAAUUCCAGUCACUCUUGGGCUAGACUCAAGGUUCUUCUUAAAAAUUACAUGGCCAUCACCAAGUUAGUUGUUUUGAACCUUAAUUUCUUCACCUCUAAAAUGGAGGUAAUAUUUACCUUAAUAGACUAUGAGAAUGAAGAUUAUGUAUGUGAAUUGUUUGAUGCUCUAAAGAACACCACAAAUAAAAUUAUUUUAUUUUGAAAUUAAAUUUAAUUUUAAUUGUACUGUGUGUAAUUUCUUAAUUUUGAAAUAAUUUUAUUUGUAAUGUGCAUAAUCUUAUUUAAUGUAUAAUGUAUAUACUACAUUGUAAUAGAAGAUUUCCCAAAUUCCAGCCUGGCAUGAGGUAAUAAAAGGUAAUGCAAAGGGAGAGGAA